rnacentral:tRNA from 3 species
GGCGACAUAGCCAAGUGGUAAGGCAGGGGUCUGCAAAAUCCUUAUCCCCGGUUCGAAUCCGGGUGUCGCCUCCA